GUGACUUACUGAAUUCAUAGGCUACUAUAGCUGUUUAAAAAAAAAUCUAAUCAAUUCUUUAAUAAUAAAACAGAAAAAAAGAGAAAGUUUAUGAUCGUUGUCUGAUUUCUUUAGAAGGCUCGGAAUUCGCUAGCUUUUUGGAAGGUGGCUCAACAAAUUCUUCAUUCUUCAUACGUUUUUCGGAUGUCCUGGAAAUAGUUAUCAAGCGACCUUCAGAAUCAAUGUGAGGACUUUCAACCAGUUUUCGAGAAAGUGCAUCAUCUACCAAGCUUCCCCACAAGUCAUCUGUUUUCAAUGUUUCCAUAUUUCCUAUGAUUAACAAAGAGCUUCUUGCACGUGUUAAUGCAACAUUCAAUCGCCUAAAGUCUCUUAAGAAACCAAUGCCAUGUUUAGAAUAACUUUUAACACAUGAAAAGAAGAUAAUGUCUUUUUCCUGACCCUGAAAACCAUCAACAGUCUGAAUGUCAAUAGUCGACAUAAACGAUUUUCCGUAUUUAACUUUAAAUGCUCGACGAAGUUCAUGAAGUUGGGAUCGAUAUGGGGUAAUAACACCUAUUCGCCCGGUGAAAUUAACGUCGGGAAAUUUAUUUAGUAAUUCAUCGACCAUAUUGACGAGAUACUCGACUUCUUCCAGGUUAUACGUGGACAUAGUAUUAGACGUUCUCUCUUUACCUCUAACGUCAAAAAGACGAUAUUGUGUAAAUUUGGGAUUAACAUGCCAAACCUGUUGUGUUUUUUCAGCCAUAUUAUCACCAUCUUCUAAUCGUGAAUCGUAGAACUUCUUACUCGGGAAGUGGCUAAUAUCCGGGUGCAUACGAUAUUGAAUACUCAAUAGACACAUUUGAUUGGAAAAGUUCUUUUGAAUACGCACGAAUAGUGAUUGCGAAUAAUUAAGACUGGCCGCCUUCUUACUUAAUACAGUAGGGGGUAAUUGAUUUGGAUCACCUACUAAUAUACAUUUCUUUGCACCAUAACGAAGGGGAAUGAUGGUAUCAAGCUCAACAGCUUGUGCAGCCUCAUCGAUUAUUACGGUAGAAAAGUUCAAAGAACUAUGUGCUACCAAAUCGUGACCACUUCCGGAAAGCGUGGCGCAUACAACAUCUGCUUGCUUUAAGAUCGCUUUCUGAGCUUUCUUUCUCAAAAGAUCAACUUCUUUGUUUUUAGUGAAACUCUGGCUUUGAAGUUCCUCAACCUUCUGUUCUGCCAAAUUUUUUUCAUUUAUUUUAUUUUGGAGUUCUUUUCCCAAAGAUUUAGUAUCUUCAGCAACAUCACGGGCAACGUCGAUUUGUUUUUCAAGCUCUUCGAUUUUUUGAAUACAAUCGUAAAACGUAUCACGCCAGCGAGUUAGUUCCUGGAGCGACCCAAGGUCAAUAGCACCUUGGUUGACUUCUAAAAGUUGUUUUUCAGUUUGAUAUUCCAAAGACAAAUCGCGAACUGAAACAUUAAUGGUUUCCGGAUUACCUAUACGGACAACUCUUGGUAUAUAUUUUUCACCAUUUUCUAAAAGGAAACCACGUUUUAGACGCAAUAAAACUUCGUCAACCGCUGCAUUACUAGGUGCACAAAGUAAAAUUUGUUGCUUUGAUUCUGUGCUCUUCGAUUGUUGAUUCGGUCGUGUUAUGUGGUAUCGACUAAGGUCCACGAGCAAAGCCGAAAUAAUCCCAAUAAUUGUUUUUGUUUUACCAGUACCGGGAGGACCUUGAAUCAAAGUAAAUCCGUUAUUAUCAAGAGCGCACAUAAUGGCCUUAGCUUGAGGUUCGUUAACCUGAUAUCGCUUCAUAGCUGCUUUUAUCUCGCUUGAAGAAUGCUUAACUGGUUGAGAACAAGGCCUCGCACGAAUAAUAUCGUCUGCUAGAUGAAAGUAUGGUAAACCUCUUAUGCCGGCAUAUUGGCGAGUGAAUGUAGCCAAAUUUGUUAAUUUUAGAAACCAUAAAGCACAAUUACCUUGUAAUUUGUUCAAAAUUUCCAUAGAUGGUAACGUACGUAAGACAACUAAAACUCCAUUCGUUUGCCUAACUAUGCGUUCAACUUUCGCAAAGCAACACAGCCCUUUCAUUGAUGAAGCAUCCUCCUUGUUAAAAGCCAACGAAACUACUUCCGUAUCAUAUAAGGGAUAACCGUAUAGAUCCUUGGGAGCCACUGAGACUCCUAUAUCAACAAAAUUAUUGACGGCCGUUCUUUCAACCAUGAUUCCUUCAACAGGAGAGAAUUUUAAAUCCAAUUUUGUUGACUGAAUUUGACUCCAGCAUUCCAUAAAUAUCAUCGGCUGCAAAACCUCCAUAUAAUGUUCAACCGUUUUAAAACUAUCAAUAAUUUUCCCAUCAAGCUUAUGAAAUUUCAGUACAGGAUUAGGUGACUGAUUAGCUGGUUCCCAGCUCAAAAUUUCUUUGUAAAAGUCAGUCAUACUUGGAAAUAAGCGUGCUUUAACAUUUGCAACGUUCCUAUUAGUCAUCAUCCGAAUUUGUGAAGGAUGCAUCUUAAUAGUGGAAUUAGAUAAUAGCUGCACUUGUCGUCGCUCUUGUUGGCGUAUCUCUGGAAUUUUGUUUGCUUUGGCAAGAGAGAAUAAUCCUUGCUUUCUAUCAAUAUCAUCCUCAUUAUCUGAGAGGUCCUCAGCUAAAAGGUUAGCUGGCUUGACUUCAUUAAAUGUUGGCUUUCUUGAAGAUACAGCAGAUGAUUUGAGUUUAGAUUCAAAGUUUCGUUUAGUCAAAUACUCCUGCUUUAGUUGCUCCAGCAUUCCCAUGCGAGGGGCACUUGAAGAUUUAGUAGUAUUCUGUUUCACAGUAAUUUGAGGUGUAGGACUUGGCUUUAUGACAUGUGCACUAUUAGUUAGUUCUGUUUGUUUCUUUGUUUUUCGCAUUUCCGAAAGUCGGUGUUGCUCAAGUACAGUCUUUGCUUCAGGGCUAGCCUGAGUCAAAACAUUAGCAAGCUGUUUACAUUGAUCGGCAGACAAAUGUGCUUUUUGCUUUCUAAUGAUAAAAUCUGUAAGGAAGGUAACGGUGCGAUCCUCGAAAAGGUAGUCAAAAUUCGAAAAUUUAGUGAAAAGCUUGCAUAAACUAUUGAUGACAAUUCCCCUUAAUUCUAAAUCGUUUAUUUUAAGCCACAUAAUAAAAGAGAACAAUGAUUCAGAAGUUUCGCCUAACAGAAUCAAGCUAUCAAACUUAGCAAGGAGCUUUAUGAAGAUUCCGUCAUUUUGGAAAAGAUCAUCAACAAACUUAAGUGUUAGUUUCAUCAAUGCUUUAACCGUAUCAGCAGGAUUGUUAAGCGACCAUCUGGCAACGUUGGAAAAAACUAAAUCCAAUAUGUUCCAGAUGCACUGCCAAUAAGCACCCAAGGUAGGUAUGUCAUUUUCUGUGAAAGCAGAAUUGUCAGAUGAUAAGGAUUUAUUAGUAAUGCUCAAAAAUCUCAUAAUUCGAAGAGCAGGAAAGAAGCUUAAAAUAGAUUGCCAGUUAAGAACAGCAUCAGCUAGACCAUGCACAAUUCCUCGAAAAUCCAUUGCAACCAGUUUUUUAAGAGCCUCAUUCCUGUUUUUAGUGCAAUUGGUAAUUAUUUGGACAAUAUGAAAAGCACUAACAUAGAGCGGCUGAGUAGGAGAUAACAGAAAUGAUACAACUGUGUCAAAUUUUGAAGAAUCUCCCAGCAUAUUUGAAAUUUCAGUAGACGACUUUUCAGAAAAUCCUUUUAAAAAUCCACUGAUAUAUUCCGACAUUACUUGCCAUAGUUCAGCAAACUGCACCAUGGUUCCAGACGGUGUAGAAUUUUCGGAUAUUUCAAUAUCGUGGGCAAAGCAACAACUUGAAAUUUUAGAGAAAAGGACGUCAGAUAUUUUUUCUUCCUGUAGAUUGUCAAGCUUCCAAAAAGGAGAGAGUUCAUAUGAAGGAUCGAAAACAAAUGAGGGAUUUUUAGUGAUUGCCUUAUGAGACCAACUUAUAAAUGCAAUGUCAUAAAGUAAAGAGUGCAAUCUGAGUUUCAGCAUGUACUCCGGAUAAUCUUGUAAAAUAGUGAUGCUAUUAGCAUUCAUCAACGAUAGUGUAUUGUUAAGAAAUGAAGGAGAGCUGUAAUCUAGCGAUAAUAGAUCAAAUAACGCAUCCAAAACCGAAUAAAUGAUGAAACCUAUAGU